UAAGGAAUAUUGGACAAUGGGCGCAAGCCUGAUCCAGCCAUGCCGCGUGAAGGAUGAAGGCCCUAUGGGUUGUAAACUUCUUUUAGCAGGGAAAAAACCCCCCGAUGCGUUGGGGGCUGAUGGUACCUGCAGAAUAAGCAUCGGCUAACUCCGUGCCAGCAGCCGCGGUAAUACGGAGGAUGCAAGCGUUAUCCGGAUUUAUUGGGUUUAAAGGGUGCGUAGGCGGAUGAAUAAGUCAGUGGUGAAAGCCUGCAGCUUAACUGUAGAAUUGCCAUUGAUACUGUUCGUCUUGAGUACAGCUGAGGUGGGCGGAAUAUGACAUGUAGCGGUGAAAUGCUUAGAUAUGUCAUAGAACACCGAUUGCGAAGGCAGCUCACUAAACUGUCACUGACGCUGAGGC
rnacentral:rRNA from 1 species